rnacentral:sRNA from 1 species
AGUACCACGUGAUAAAACUGAUGCCGGGGUUAGCUGAGCUGGAAGGGGAGAGGUAGUAUGUCAUCCCCAUGGUCUGUGAAAUUCUAUUUUAGAUCAGCAGGAGGAGGAGGAGGAGAAGGCCCAGUAGAUGAGAGAGACAGAGUGUUCUGGAUGGUAAUGGGGAGGCAGAAAGACCCAGCUAACUAUACCCCCCCACCUUGAGCAUCUGUCUAAGCAGGAAAACACGACCGUUCUCUCAGGUCAGGAGAAUAAAGCAGAGGGGCUGGACCCACACAAGGGUGAUCACGGCAGGAGAAACAAUCGAAGCUUGCUUUGAAUAAGUGAUGUGUGUUUCUGAGUGAAGCGAUAUGACAGAUUGAAGAUCGUUCCUCCCCCCUCCACCAAGAGAUGGCAAACCCAGAUGCUGAGGAUGAACAAGACCUUAUCUGGAAAUAAGAUCCCUGCAGAGGCCAUGGAGUCAAACUGAAGCCACAUGUGAGACUUCAUCAUUGUUAUGGGAAAAUAUCUGGGGGAAAAAAUAAGCCACUGAGGAAGGAAGGGCUUGUUUUGGACCAACACUGCGUGGGAAAAUGUAGUAUCAGAGGUGUUUUACAUCAUCCCUUAGAAACACACAGGUGCUCCAGGGGAUGUAAACAGGAUAUGGUACUAUUUCCUUGAAAGAAAGGGGGCUUCCAGCUCAUGAAUGCCAGAACAAGACUUGACAGCUGUUGAAAAGAAAAACACUUGGGCUGGAGAAGUGGCUCAGGAGUUAAGAACACUUACUGUGCUCAUUGAGGACCUGGUCUCGGUUUGGGUAUCCAGACUGCACCUCACCAUUGUCUGUAACCCCAUUUUUGGGAAAAUAUGACACCUCCUUCUGGCCUUCACAGGUAUUACAUGGGUAAGGUGCACAUAUAUACCGGAAGGCAAAUGCUCAUACACACAAAAUAAAAAGGUGUGGUAUUUAAAUUUUCAAAAGAGGAGGAAAAACCAGAACUGUACUACAGAGGAUCUGGCGAUACUUCUACUCUACCAUUACAGGUUUGAUAGAAUCGUAAUAUUUUGCUGUUUCGGUGCUGCCAAUACCGAGGAUUGAACCUAUGACCUUACAUAUGCAAGGUGCAGAGUUAAAUGAUUCAACAUAGAAUAACCACCUGCUCUAAAGGACAAGCCGGAUUUCAAAAUAAAGUCAAAAUCAUCAAGCUAUUUAAUUACAGCUCUUUUUCCAAGAUAAUAACGCUACUCCAGGAAGAUCCUGCGACGGGAGCAGAAAACGGGCUAAGACUGUGUGAGUCUCUGAAGUCAAGAAAAAUGGCUCCAUCACCCACAAUGCCUGUGACACAGCUUGAAGAUAAAUCACCAGACAGUGAAAUCUUACUGUCUCUUGUUCAGUGUCCUAUGGCUACAAAUGUGCAGUGCGUCUGAUGGAUAUAUUCAGGGGGACUUUUUGGGAUAAAGAGAAUGGUGUAAGUUAGCACUUCCCUGGCAGAAAUAUGAUCAAGGGUGUGCGAGCUUGCAUCCUUUUGUCUCCGAGCAUAGCUCAUGCCCGCAUCCCCGGAGGGCACACACAGCCCUGUGGGUUUUGCUUCUGGGCCCUGGGUGCUCUUGAGGCGUUACUUUAGAAAGACAAAUGGCUAAUUCUGCCCAGCCAAAUGCUGCACAUUUCAUGAUUAAAGACAAGCUUCUCCGGACCGGGCUUCAUUUAUUUCUGCUGCAGUGAGAGAUGUGGUGGAUUUAUAUUUUUUUUUCUUUCCUUCAUAAAUAGGAGCAGUUUGUAAAAAUCCUGCAGGGAUCAUCAACGUUAAAUCUCCCUCCGUGGUGAUGAAAGGGGUCUCCCUGUUGUUGUUUUCUUUCUUUAA